GCAGCACCGGGGCUCGGGCUGCUGCUGGAUGGUCCUGGAACGGAGCCGCCAGGGGCUGCUAGCCCAGGGGGUGCGGCACAAGCACCCUGCCCAGCGGGCUGCCCUGCUCCCCGCAGAGAGUUUCUCUUCCUCCACAAUUCCCCCUGCCCAGGCAGCGGAUCAGAGCACCGUAUCCUGCUGCGAUGGGCCUCCUGGGGACUGGUGCAGCAGCUAGCAGUAAUUCGGGUUUAGAAACUGCUGGGUUGAGGGCAACCCCUUGGUGUUUCCCUUCCCGUUAUGGGAUCAGUGAUGCAGAUACGUGUUUGCCUUUAGCAGGACUCCCAAAGGCUGAGUGAGGCAGCUGGUUAUUGCAGCUGCUUUUAUGUAGUGCUGCUGCUGCUGAGUUCAACUUGCAGCCCAGGUGCCUCGCAGCACAAAGGGCUGGCACCAAAACCCAAGGCAGGUAACGGGUUCAGGGGGUGGCAGCAGGCCCUGGCUUGUGGGGCCUGCAUGGCCUGUGGGGGUUUCAAAAAGUUACUUAUUAAAAGCAAACAGCCAAACAGACCUACAGCAAAAGACAACACAAACCACUGGUAAAGACGAGGGAAGAGAAACAGCACAGGAGGGUUCCAGCUUCACUCGGGAAGCUUUUCAGGAGACUCAGCCCGGCAGCAGUGGCACUUCUGAAACGCCAGAGCCCCGCACGUUGCCCCCGUCCGGUUCUCCAGGUGUGGGAUAAGGAGCAGGGACCGCAGCCCAGCCUCGGCUUCUCAGAGAGGUUCCCAAUGACCACAAAUUAUGUGUGGGCUCCGCUGGUUGGAAGGAGUGAGGCACAGGAGCAGCCGCAGUGUGUGAACCGCUGCAGAAGUCUUGGUCAUGGAAGAAGUCAGCCCGCACAUCGCAUCCCACCGCACACCUCCAGCCCAGCCUACCUGCCAUCCUCUUGUGCAGUCCAGCAGCGCUGUGUGCUUCCAGCUGACACAAAGUUUGGGCCCGAGAAUGCGUUUUACAGGAAUCUGUGACAGGAGCAUCUUCCGCACCUGCCCGCUUAAUUAUGAAACGAAACAAGUGAGCUGUUUCCAGGACACAGGUAUGGUGAUUAACGGUCUGUGUGAUCAGAUUUACAACAGCCAUAUAUGACAAGAGUGUCAUGGGGAGGAUUUUUCACUGCUAAUGGCAGUGGCUUUUAUUUCAAGCCCAUUUUUUUUACAUUAAAAUUUUUAUUACAAAAACUGUAACAGUAAGGCAGUUUGUCAAUUGUCAGUCACUGUGAGCCAAACAGUUUUCGAUCACCUUUAAUACAAAACUAGAUUCACACAGGAGCCACGCUCUUGAUCCAAAAGCCCUUUGAGAAAUGAGGGGAUAAGGCAGAGAGGAACACCACCACCUGUGUCAUCACACGUUGGGUAUGAGGUGUAUGGACACUAUUGCGGUGGAGGAAGAUGACACACGGAUUGUCUGCAGGUUAAAAAAAUAAGCUUGUCCUUUCUCCUCUGAGAAUCUGGAACAUUUCAGUCUGAUGUGCCUCAGCAGAACUGAAGUUGAGUUCUGGGGGAUUUUCCUUUUAAAACAAGUGAAAUUUUCCACUGCCAAAAGACAAACUGUUUUUCUUCCCUGAAGAACUGCAAGUCAUUGAGUAGUUCACAGAUUUAAGACGUCAUGCUCUAAAACUUUUUUACUCCCCAGGCGAUGCCUCUUAGGAGACCAUUCUUAAAACGCUCGUCAACGCUGGAGAUACCUGAUGGUAGGUGAGGAAGGGAACUGUUAGCAAACUGCCCUAGACAUUCCACAAGUUCUUUCGGGCUUGUUGUUCAUCUUUUGGUAUUGCUUGAACAGAGAGGGGAAAAAAACUUUGCUUGCUAUAAUGAAAUUAGGGUUUCUCAUCACUUCAACCCUGCCUUCUUCCAUCCAACAUGUAAGAGCCCCACGUGUUUUCUUCCGAUGUGGCAGUACCUGAAGUAGUCACUGGCAGCUUUUAUUCGGUAAUUCUCUUUUACCUCACAUCAAUUGUAGAAUUGUUAGUUGUUAAUUAUUUUUGUGUGUCAAGCAAUGUGGCUCACUUGAAAGAAAAGCAUCUGUCUGUAAGAGCAAAGCCAGAUGCUGUUUUCCAAACAGUGCUGGUGGUGGUAAUACCCGGAUUUCUUUUUGUGCUCGCUAGCUAGCCAGGGCUGGCUCAUCCAGAAGCACUUAGAGAUGCCUCAGAGCCAGCGAGAGGAACUGAAUGCCCCCAACUAAGGCUCCUGACUCCAUGUUGUCCAUUGCUCUCUUUUACAUGCAGGGAAGUGGCAGGACUCACUGCAGCCAUGGCGACCUUUUUUGGAGCUUAAGAAAGCCAACAAGAUGAGAAAGAGAAAACCAUGGACAAGAACGGAGACGACUGUACUGACACCAUGUAAAAAAUGAGAAAACGUGAGUAAGUGUGUUCUGUG